CUUUUUUAUAGAAUAAAUUAGGAAAGGGAAGCUUUAUGUAGGUCUAGUUAACACGGGAUGCCUAUCCAUGAUGAUAUUUGAAUGGAAAACGCAGCAGAAUCAAACCAUGGUGAUCCACACUCCAAACCAGUUGGUGGCGGUAAUGCACCGUUUCGUUGCGUGCCAACCGCCAGAAAAAUUCAUAAAGAAGAAGAAGAAGAAUCAAACCAUGGCCAUCUGGUGCUGCUGCUCUACAUAUAUUGGAAUUUUUCAUGGAACCAACUAUUGAUGUUUCUUCUCUAUUAAUCCGGAGAAGGGGACAAAAGUGGAACAAACAAAAACAAAACGGCUCCAUGUGAAUCCAAGAGUCCUUACUUUGAUUCAGGACCUCUCAGACCAUGAAUGGCGAGCUAUUUAAAAAGUUGUUCCUUCAAGUGGCCGCGACAGUGAACACCCAUGUUUCUCUAGAUGUUCUUCUAGAAGCAAUGCAGUUGCAUGUUAAUCAAGCCUUUACCAUGAUUCACAAGCUCUCCAUGAAUGGCGAGCUAUUUAAAAAGUUGUUCCUUCAAGUGGCCACGACAGUGAACACCCAUGUUUCUAGAUGUUCUUCUGGAAGCAAUGCAGUUGCAUGUUAAUCUAAGCUUCUGUAACUUGAUUCAUGACCUUUUCAACCAUGAAUGGCGAGCUGUUUGAAAAGUUGUUCCUUCAAGUGGCCGCGACAGUGAACACCCAUGUUUCUCUAGAUGUUCUUCUAGAAGCAAUGCAGUUGCAUGUUAAUCAAGCCUUUACCAUGAUUCACAAGCUCUCCAUGAAUGGCGAGCUAUUUAAAAAGGUGUUCCUUCAAAGUGAUUGAGCCGAUGAACACCUAUAUCAUCUUUUUUCGUGGCUCGCUAUUAACAAGGUUCACAUUUAUUCACUCACUCACUACCACACCUCACUCAUAAUUCCUCUCUCUCACAAACACAAGUGCAACCACACACACACACACACACACACACACUUUAAUGAUCUCUUUCUCAUUAUUUUUUCAACAAUAAAUUUGCAUUAUUGUGAAUUGUA